rnacentral:sRNA from 1 species
GCUGGGCGUGGUGGUGCUUGCCUGUAAUCCCAGCUACUCAGGAGGCUGAGGUAGGAGAAUUGCUUGAACCCAGGAGGCGGAGGUUGCAGUAAGCCGUGAUCGUGCACCACUGCACUCCAGCCUGGGUAACAGAGCAAGACUCUGCCUCAA